GAUCCUGGCCUCAAAUCGAACGCUGGCGGCAUGCCUAACACAUGCAAGUCGAACGAGAUCUUCGGGUCUAGUGGCGCACGGGUGCGUAACGCGUGGGAACCUGCCCUUAGGUUCGGAAUAACCCCUCGAAAGGGGUGCUAAUACCGGAUAAUGUCUUCGGACCAAAGAUUUAUUGCCUUUGGAUGGGCCCGCGUUGGAUUAGCUAGUUGGUGGGGUAAAGGCCUACCAAGGCGACGAUCCAUAGCUGGUCUUAGAGGAUGAUCAGCCACACUGGGACUGAGACACGGCCCAGACUCCUACGGGAGGCAGCAGUGGGGAAUAUUGGACAAUGGGCGAAAGCCUGAUCCAGCAAUGCCGCGUGAGUGAUGAAGGCCUUAGGGUUGUAAAGCUCUUUUACCCGGGAUGAUAACGACAGUACCGGGAGAAUAAGCCCCGGCUAACUCCGUGCCAGCAGCCGCGGUAAUACGGAGGGGGCUAGCGUUGUUCGGAAAUACUGGGCGUAAAGCGAACGUAGGCGGCUUAGCAAGUCAGGGGUGAAAUCCCAGAGCUCAACUCUGGAACUGCCUUUGAAACUGCUUCGCUUGAAUCCUGGAGAGGCGAGUGGAAUUCCGAGUGUAGAGGUGAAAUUCGUAGAUAUUCGGAAGAACACCAGUGGCGAAGGCGACUCGCUGGACAGGUAUUGACGCUGAA
rnacentral:rRNA from 1 species